CCAGCUCUCUUUGCCUUUUGGCUUAGAUCAAGUGUAGUAUCUGUUCUUUUCAGUUUAAUCUCUGAAAUGCCUCGAAACGGGGCUUAUCGUGAUUAUUCCCAUUUUUGGCAGCAAGGACGAGAGCGCCUCUGCGUUUACGCAUGGUUCUUGUCCACUGUGUCCCUGGUAUUACACUGCGCCCAGGUGAUGCGAACCUUU
rnacentral:snRNA from 1 species